CCGUCCUUCAAUUUCUCGACGACGGCGCCGCCGUCGCCCCCUUCGUAGAGCAGAAGCUUCUGGUUGUAGUAGAAGGCGAGGUAGGGAAGAUCAAACGUCACUAAUUGGCACUCUUUUCUUCCGAUUAGUUUCUUGGGCUUAACAUAUGUUGUGUUGAGGAGUUUGACGCUUCCCACUUUAUUCUCACCAUUUGCAACUUCACCGGCCAUUAUACAAACUAAAUCUUUAAUUUUUGAAAUGUUUAGACAGCAGGAUUUGGUGUUAAAUGGAUUAUUGCAGAUGUGCUCAUAUUUAUAGUAAUAGAUCAGAGUUGAUGUAGUUGGGAUUGCAUUUAAUGGUUUUCAUGGGCGCAGUUGUAAGACAUUUAUUACAUUUUCUUUGCCACUGUUUUUUUUGGUGGGAGUUGAGUAAAGAUGCUUCUCAUAAUAAACUAUUUUCACCAACACAUCCUUUAUUAUUUAUUAAUUAAAUGUGCAAUUGUGUGUAUCAUACAAAAAAAAUUGUAGUCCUAAUUUUAAAUGUAUUCAUAAGAAUAUCCCAACAUUUUAUAAGUACUCCAUGUUUGAUCAAUAAUGUAUGUGAUUUGGCUUUGAAUAUUUUGGGUGUCAUGUUAGUGAUGAUUAUGGAUGUCAUCUUAGUGACUACAUAUUAUGUUUCCUUUCUAUAUUUGACUUGAAUUAUUUAAUACUACAUCUUGUAGCGCCCCAACUCCGGUGGGUUGGAAUACUACGAAAAUCAUAAAAAGAAGAAAAAUAAAUACAAAAACACAAAAAUAAAUGUUUUAGAAUGUCAUUAAUGCAAAAUUUUAGAGUUAAAUUUUUUUUUCUAACAACAUUUCGUUUAUAGAUCGCGCUCAUCUGAGCGCCGCAAUCAACCACUUAUAAUAAACAAAAGAUCGAGUNCCUAUUUUUAUGAAAAAAUUAAGUCAUUCAUGAAGAUGUGACGAUGGCAUAUGUUUAGGAUCAAAAAAAUUUAAACGCUAUAGUACAAAAUUAGCCUCGUGAUAGAAUUUGUAAAAUUAGUCUCGUGAUAUUAUUGAAAUAUUGUAGAACCUAAUAUCGACGCAUUGUGUACCAAUAUAGAUACAAAUUAAAAAGCAUAAUAUUAUGGACAAAAAGCUAAGGCGUUGUGACAUUUUCUAGCACUAUUGUAGUUUAAUAAUGAUAAUUUGGUUCCAAUAUGAUUCUUACACUAGAUCGAAAAUGAAAUCAAAUUCAAUCAUAAUAACUCCAUAAAAGUCACAAUAACUCCAUAGUACCAAAACAUUUCAUUAGGAUUAGUUCAUCACUAUUAACUUAUAGAGUGCUAUUAUAAUUAAAUUAAAUUAUAGAGUGCUAUUAAAGCUGACGUGACAAGUCGAAUGUUGCGAUGUGUAUUCAUUAGAUGUUUUAAAAAAUGAUCUCGUUUAGUAGAUGUCCUUACAAUAGAUUUUUUAAAACUAUCCGAUGAGUGCACAUCAAUAUUCCAACUUGAUAAUUUGGGGGAAAAUUGAAUUAGUGGUAAAUUUGCUACAAUACUAAAAUUCAUGUUUUUUUUUUACUCAUUUCAAAGUUCAUGUGCAAAACCAAAUUACCGCCAAAGUUGAUGUAUUUAAAUGCUAAUAAUCCUUAUUUUAAUAUAUUGUCCAUAUUGUAAACUAUUUUUUUAUUUUUAUUUUUAUUUUAUUUAAAUUAAAAAAGCAAAAAAUUACAAAAAAAUUAAUAACUAUAAUAUGGACAUUAUAGUAAAAUAACUAAAUCACUUUUAUUUUAAAAAAAUUACAUGAAUUAAAUUAUUUUCUAUUUAACUAAGUUAUGACUAAUCAUAAUGUGACUUCAUAAGAUUAAUUAAACUAUAAUCCAGAUACUGGAUCCAAGCGCACACACGCACUCAUUAGUACUUCAGGAAUUAAUAUAUAAAUUUAAAAGUUUGAGGUGUAUCAAAAGUUGGUGAAAAGCAUGGGAUCGGAAUGCUAUAAAUGAAAUAAAGCAAGAAAAUAGAAUUGAGUGUUACCUGCACCGCCAGCAAGGGGCGCUGCAGCCCCUCCAAAUUCAAGACUCCGUUGUAAGGCAGGAGCUCCUUGAAUUUGGAGAAGCCCUCCUCCGCCGUGAGCUCCGCCACGUCCAUGGCCUCGGCCGCCGCCUCGACAACCUCGACACCCUCCAUGUCAUCGUCGUACACCACCUUGAACACCCCAUCUUCAUCUUUCUCGAGCUUGCCAGCCAGCUGAUGAAACUCCUCCAACACUAAUGCCAGCCCGUCCUUCAAUUUCUCGACGACGGCGCCGCCGUCGCCCCCUUUGUAGAGCAGAAGCUUCUGGUUGUAGUAGAAGGCGAGGUAGGGAAGAUCAAACGUCACUAAUUGGCACUCUUUUCUUCCGAUUAGUUUCUUGGGCUUAACAUAUGUUGUGUUGAGGAGUUUGACGCUUCCCACUUUAUUCUCACCAUUUGCAACUUCACCGGCCAUUACAAACUACUAAAUCUU
rnacentral:lncRNA from 1 species